AACGAACGCUGGCGGCAGGCUUAACACAUGCAAGUCGAACGGGUGCAGCAAUGCAUCAGUGGCAGACGGGUGAGUAACACGUGGGAACCUUCCUAGGGGUACGGAACAACUCAGGGAAACUUGAGCUAAUACCGUAUACGUCCGUAAGGAGAAAGAUUCAUCGCCCCUAGACGGGCCCGCGUCGGAUUAGGUAGUUGGUGGGGUAACGGCCUACCAAGCCUGCGAUCCGUAGCUGAUCUGAGAGGAUGAUCAGCCACACUGGGGACUGAGACACGGCCCAGACUCCUACGGGAGGCAGCAGUGGGGAAUCUUGGACAAUGGGCGCAAGCCUGAUCCAGCCAUGCCGCGUGAGUGAAGAAGGCCUUAGGGUUGUAAAGCUCUUUUACCAGGGACGAUAAUGACGGUACCUGGAGAAUAAGCCCCGGCAAACUUCGUGCCAGCCGCCGCAGUAAG
rnacentral:rRNA from 1 species